GGGCGGAGCAACGCGGACUGCCAAUAAAAGUGGAAUGCCCGAUGCCGUUUUCCUCGCGGCAGGUUCUUCUCCUCGUGUGCACCUCUCUCCGCUCCGAGUUCAGUCGCCCUCGCGCCCCUCCUUCUUAAUCGCAAGAUCUGAGUUUGGAAUCUAAUGCGAUCACAACGAGCGAGGUAUUCGAUGGUUACGAGCGCCAGUACAAUGAGAUCUCCGCAUCUCUCUCACGGAAAUGUACAUCAGCUGCACUUCUCGAUGGAGGUACCUCUCUCUCUCUCUCUUUCUCGUGAACUUAUUAAACAUGUAAUUUGCUCGACAGAGAAAAAGAAGCAGAAGGUAUCUGAUAAAUCUGGCCUGGAACAUGCGGAGAAUCUAGUAAUACGCUCGAUUGUAUCUCAUUGGUUGAUUAAUAGGACCUGCAACUUUAUAAGAUUGCUUUUCUAGAUUCGAAAAAUGAAUCUCGAAGCCAGAAGCUUGGAGCCGAGCAUAAAGGCCAGAUUGCUGGUAAAGUUGAGGGAAUACAAGUAGGACCUUUACAACUCGAAGAGUGAAUUUAAAAGAAUUACCAUCCCUAAUCCCAGCCAAGCUGCAAGAGAAGAGCUGCUGAAGCCAGGGAUCGCUGAUUCAUUGGCGGUAUGACAGUUACAUGGAUGUGAUGACAACAUUAGUAAGAGCAAACGGAUCCUGAUAGCCAUGUCGAGGAGGAUGGACAGGAACAAGUGGAUAAUCAGUGGGAUUAUCGUAGCUCUGGUUCUGGCAAUUUUUUUGAUCCUGUAUUUUAAGCUCGCCCAUUGAAGUGUAUCGCACGGACCUGCUCAACUUGUGGUCAACGUCUUUGUGAAAUAAUGAAGUUUACCGGAUCUCUCUUAUUCUGCAAUAUAAUCAAUUCCAUUACUCCUACCAUUUCAUUUACCUUGCUGCCUGCUGCAUCCAAUCGGCAAUGUUCAAGCACUUUGUACUAUGCAUCAUUCAGCAAGGAGAGCUGUAUACGGACGAGGGUAAACACUGUUUUUGAUCGAGUAAUUUGUAUUAUUGCACUGGCCAUGUAUUAUAAUACACAGUAAUGUCUGUCUUUGAUUUUUUUUAUUAUUUUAUUGUGAUACUCAAGCAUAUGCA